CAGUAGCCGCGGGAAUACGUAGGUGGCAAGCGUUGUCCGGAAUUAUUGGGCGUAAAGGGCUCGCAGGCGGUUUCUUAAGUCUGAUGUGAAAGCCCCCGGCUCAACCGGGGAGGGUCAUUGGAAACUGGGAAACUUGAGUGCAGAAGAGGAGAGUGGAAUUCCACGUGUAGCGGUGAAAUGCGUAGAGAUGUGAAAGAACACCAACGGCGAAAGCACUCUGCUGGGCCGACACUGACACUGAGAGACGAAAGCUAGGGGAGCAAAUGGGAUUAGAUACCCCGGUAGUCCCUGUCUCUUAUAC
rnacentral:rRNA from 1 species